UUGUGGGAUAGAUGGACAGAAAUUUAGCAUUCCCCAUGUAAGGGUAGGUUGGAGUGCUCACUCAAGACAAUAGACAAUAGGUGCAGGAGUAGGUCAUUCUGCCCUUCGAGCCUGCACCACCGUUCAUU